AGUUCUAACUAGUAUAUGUAGGUUCAGGAGUUCAGUGUAUCCGGACUAGCAGAAGAUAAGGAUAGAGUUCUGGCAGAAAGUAUUACUACAAGAAGCGGGACUGUAACCCAGGACAAGACUACUGGCGAGAGUACUGCUACAUUACAGAGUAGAACCCUCGCUACCUCACAAACUGAGAAUACCGAGGUCGGAGCUAAGGGACUGGUCUCUGCUAGCAUCAUCACAUCCAGGAAGGAGUCUUCAAUGAGUGUGCGCAAGGAAUCUGUUGUGAAGGAUAGUUCCUACGCAUCUCGUGUUGCGUCAAUGAGUUCAGCUGCUGACCCUUCUUCAACCCAACUUGUUGAUGAUUCUAAUCAGGAUGACAGUAUAGCUGAGGGAAAGAUUGUCUCCUCCCAGACCAUCUCCAGCAAGAGCAGGACCGUGGAGACGACCACAUACGAGAUGGAGCAGGAGGGGAGAACAGAAACCCAUAUU